GACAGAGGGUGCAAACGUUGUUCGGAAUUACUGGGCGUAAAGCGCGCGUAGGCGGGUCUGUAAGUCGAUUGUGAAAUACCUGGGCUUAACCCGGGAAUGGCAGUCGAAACUGCAGAUCUUGAAUGUCUGAGAGGAUGGCGGAAUAACCGGUGUAGUAGUGAAAUACGUAGAUAUCGGUUAGAACACCUGAGGCGAAGGCGGCUAUCUGGCGGUACAUUGACGCUGAUGCGCGAAAGCGUGGGGAGCAAACAGGAUUGAGAUA
rnacentral:rRNA from 1 species